UGAGAUGUCUGCUAUGAGCAGAGAACUAUGUUGGGUAUUUUGAUAGAUAUAUGAGUCAGAGUUCAAACAGAGAAGCAGAACCCCUAGGAAACACAUACAUACUAAGGGAUUUAUACGGGGCUUUGGCUCUGCUUCACUGUGGGAGGAUGUUAAACAGAAUGCAGAGGCUGUUGCUUCUGUGUUUGGUGCUGAAGCCUGAAGUCAGCAGGACGGGUAGACAGGAAGAAAAGACAGCUGCAAAGAGGGAAACCGGGACAAAAUGGAACCCAUAAAGAUGAGUGGAGUCUGCGAAGGUGGACCAGAAACCGUAUCAGUGUCUCACGACCUCCAAGACUCCACCUUUAAUGAUGAGGGUGUUCUGCGGGUGAAGCUUAUCCUUAUCCGGUAAAUAAACACAUGCCUGCCUGGAGGAAAACGAAGCCAAAGAAGGAGAUCCAGAGGACCCAAAUAUGCCCAUGGCAACCAGGAUGCCAAAAGAUUAAAAAAGUAAUCACAGAAAAGUGACAAAGUAUGCCCAUGACCACACAGCUGACAAUACUGAGCCUGGCCCUGAGGUCUCCUGAGACUUGGACCAAUGCUUUGGCCACAAGGGAGGCAGUCAAUUCACAGAACAUCUGCUCUGACAGGAGACUGAAGAAGGAAUGAGCUAAGGGACUCCAAGUCCAGAGUAAGCCUGUGGACGGAUGGUGCUUCCAGGACUCACAGCUUCCCUUCCCUCUGGCCCUUCUUUAUGCCCUGGUGUUUUUCAGAUUCAGUAUCUCUAUUAAAACUUCCUACUCCUCUUUCCUGGCCUUGUCUCCCUCUCUUAACCCCUACAAAGGACUGAAACUGGCUGUCAGCUCUGGGGCUUG
rnacentral:lncRNA from 1 species